rnacentral:rRNA from 1 species
GAUGAACGCUAGCGGCGCGCUUAACACAUGCAAGUCGAACGAGAAAGGGCUUCGGCCCCGGUACAGUGGCGCACGGGUGAGUAACACGUAGGUAACCUGCCCUUGAGUGGUGGAUAACAUUCCGAAAGGAGUGCCUAAUACAGCAUAAGACCACGGUUCCAUCAAGGAACAGGGGUCAAAGCGGGCCUCUUCAUGAAAGCUCGCGCUUGGGGAUGGGCCUGCGGCGCAUCAGCUAGUUGGUGAGGUAAUGGCGUCACCAAGGCUAAGACGCCGUAGCUGGUCUGAGAGGAUGAUCAGCCACACUGGAACUGAGACACGGUCCAGACUCCUACGGAGGCAGCAGUGGGGAAUUUUGCGCAAUGGGGGCAACCCUGACGCAGCAACGCCGCGUGAGUGAGGAAGGUUUUCGGACCGUAAAGCUCUGUCGAGCGGGAGAAAUGUAAUCAUGGCUAAUAUCCAUGAUAACUUGACGGUUACCGACGUAAGGAAGCACCC